rnacentral:rRNA from 1 species
UACGUAGGGUGCAAGCGUUGUCCGGAAUUACUGGGCGUAAAGGGCUCGUAGGCGGUUUGUCGCGUCGGGAGUGAAAACCUCGGGCUUGACUCGGGGCUUGCUUUCGAUACGGGCAGACUGGAGGUAUGCAGGGGAGAACGGAAUUCCUGGUGUAGCGGUGAAAUGCGCAGAUAUCAGGAGGAACACCGGUGGCGAAGGCGGUUCUCUGGGCAUGACCUGACGCUGAGGAGCGAAAGUGUGGGGAGCGAACAGG